rnacentral:rRNA from 1 species
GAGUUUGAUCCUGGCUCAGAUUGAACGCUGGCGGAAUGCUUUACACAUGCAAGUCGAACGGCAGCACGGGAGCUUGCUCCUGGUGGCGAGUGGCGAACGGGUGAGUAAUGCGUCGGAACGUACCGAGUAAUGGGGGAUAACGCAGCGAAAGCUGUGCUAAUACCGCAUACGCCCUGAGGGGGAAAGUGGGGGAUCGCAAGACCUCACGUUAUUCGAGCGGCCGACGUCUGAUUAGCUAGUUGGUGGGGUAAUGGCCUACCAAGGCGACGAUCAGUAGCGGGUCUGAGAGGAUGAUCCGCCACACUGGAACUGAGACACGGUCCAGACUCCUACGGGAGGCAGCAGUGGGGAAUUUUGGACAAUGGGGGCAACCCUGAUCCAGCCAUUCCGCGUGAGUGAAGAAGGCCUUCGGGUUGUAAAGCUCUUUCAGCGGGAACGAAACGGUAGUCUCUAACAUAGGCUGCUAAUGACGGUACCCGCAGAAGAAGCACCGGCUAACUACGUGCCAGCAGCCGCGGUAAUACGUAGGGUGCGAGCGUUAAUCGGAAUUACUGGGCGUAAAGCGUGCGCAGGCGGACUGUUAAGCAAGAUGUGAAAUCCCCGGGCUUAACCUGGGAAUGGCAUUUUGAACUGGCAGUCUAGAGUGUGUCAGAGGGGGGUGGAAUUCCACGUGUAGCAGUGAAAUGCGUAGAUAUGUGGAGGAACACCAAUGGCGAAGGCAGCCCCCUGGGAUAACACUGACGCUCAUGUACGAAAGCGUGGGUAGCAAACAGGAUUAGAUACCCUGGUAGUCG